AGGAAGUAAGAUAUGAAGUCCUCUUCCUUUUUUUCGGUGGAAGAAUUAGUCCCCUCCAGUUUUCUACCACAUCUUCAUCUGUUGGCGGAAUGUUUGUUUCAUCAAGUUCUGGAGAAUGUGGCUGAGCUUGCAGUGAGGCUAGUGCUUCUGAAGAGGGGGACCAUUACUCCUGUCCAAAGUGGCAAGUAACUUGCAAGUCUUAUAAUGUGUGGAACAAUCUCAGGGAGGAAAUGGAUGUUAUCCCUGUCCCCAUUGGCUGCAGCGAGUGACCUGCUCUUCUCGCAUAUGUUUGAUACCCAGUCUCGAAGAUAUUUUUUGCACCUCUCUGAUUCCAGAGGAACUCCAGAGCUAUCAUCACCCUCUGCCUCACUGAGGGCCACAACAGUG